GCUAUAGCUUGGAGCCUUUCCUUGUGCAACUCUGCUUCCGCCAUCCUGGAGAGAAGGACACGGGAGGAGAGAGGGAAACGGGUGGGGGAGGAAAAAAAAAAAAAAAAAAAAAAAAAAAAAAGAGUCAAGGCAAACAAAACCGGAGCACACACUGCAGUCACCCGGGGGGAACCGGAGUAAUUGCAAAGAAAGCCGAGCUCCUGUGUAGUAGUCAGCCACUUUUGGAGGCACUGCAGGCUGGCUCACGUUUUACCACUUGCUAUCAAGACAUGGAGUUGAAGCACACACAGCAGGAGAUGGCAUUGUUUAAGAAAUAAAAAGCUAGACCACACGGCUUUGUUUUAAACCUUCCCAAGACAGCAGGCUUAUGAAUAGGUAUUUCCAUUUGAUGAAGUCUGGUGACUUCUGUACUUGCCCAGUCUGCUAUGGGACAUGAGUCCCAUCGCUCAUGAGCAGCUUUACAAGCUCCAG